AUUGAACGCUGGCGGCAGGCCUAACACAUGCAAGUCGAGCGGAUGAAGGGAGCUUGCUCCUGGAUUCAGCGGCGGACGGGUGAGUAAUGCCUAGGAAUCUGCCUGGUAGUGGGGGAUAACGUCCGGAAACGGGCGCUAAUACCGCAUACGUCCUGAGGGAGAAAGUGGGGGAUCUUCGGACCUCACGCUAUCAGAUGAGCCUAGGUCGGAUUAGCUAGAUGGUGGGGUAAAGGCCUACCAAGGCGACGAUCCGUAACUGGUCUGAGAGGAUGAUCAGUCACACUGGAACUGAGACACGGUCCAGACUCCUACGGGAGGCAGCAGUGGGGAAUAUUGGACAAUGGGCGAAAGCCUGAUCCAGCCAUGCCGCGUGUGUGAAGAAGGUCUUCGGAUUGUAAAGCACUUUAAGUUGGGAGGAAGGGCAGUAAGUUAAUACCUUGCUGUUUUGACGUUACCAACAGAAUAAGCCCCGGCUAACUUCGUG
rnacentral:rRNA from 1 species